rnacentral:tRNA from 1 species
GGGCCCGUGGCCUAGCUGGAUGAAGGCGCCGGCCUUCGGAGCCGGAGAUCGUGGGUUCAAAUCCCACCGGGCCCG